rnacentral:rRNA from 1 species
UACAGAGGGUGCGAGCGUUAAUCGGAAUUACUGGGCGUAAAGGGUGCGUAGGCGGCGCGGUAAGUCGGGUGUGAAAUCUCGGAGCUUAACUCCGAAACUGCAUUCGAUACUGCCGUGCUUGAGGACUGGAGAGGAGACUGGAAUUUACGGUGUAGCGGUGAAAUGCGUAGAUAUCGUAAGGAAGACCAGUGGCGAAGGCGGGUCUCUGGACAGUUCCUGACGCUGAGGCACGAAGGUCAGGGGAGCAAACGGG